AAUAAGAUGCCUGAUUAUAGGAUUAUUUUGAUAGAAUAAAAAAAGUAAACUAAUUUACUCUUAUUG
rnacentral:tRNA from 1 species